rnacentral:rRNA from 1 species
AACGAACGCUGGCGGCAGGCCUAACACAUGCAAGUCGAACGCUCGUAGCAAUACGGGAGUGGCAGACGGGUGAGUAACACGUGGGAACCUUCCCUAUGGUUCGGAAUAGCUCAGGGAAACUUGGGGUAAUACCGGAUAAGCCCUUCGGGGAAAGAUUUAUCGCCAUUGGAUGGGCCCGCGUCGGAUUAGCUAGUUGGUGAGGUAACGGCUCACCAAGGCAACGAUCCGUAGCUGGUCUGAGAGGAUGAUCAGCCACACUGGGACUGAGACACGGCCCAGACUCCUACGGGAGGCAGCAGUGGGGAAUAUUGGACAAUGGGCGCAGGCCUGAUCCAGCCAUGCCGCGUGAGUGACGAAGGUCUUCGGAUUGUAAAACUCUUUCGGCGGGGACGAUAAUGACGGU